GUGACCUCAAAUCAGGUAGGACUACCCGCUGAACUUAAGCAUAUCAAUAAGCGGAGGAAAAGAAACUAACAAGGAUUCCCAUAGUAACUGCGAGUGAAGCGGGAAAAGCUCAAAUUUAAAAUCUGGCAGCCUUUGGUUGUCCGAGUUGUAAUCUAGAGAAGUGUUAUCCGCGCUGGACCGUGUACAAGUCUCCUGGAAUGA
rnacentral:rRNA from 1 species